rnacentral:lncRNA from 1 species
AGAUGCUUUGUCCAAAUCAAAAGUAAACCAUAUCUCAUUAACUCUGUUCUUGAACUCAAAUGGAGAAUUGUAUUGAGCCACUGUGUAAAUAGCAGUAUUAUCUGCAGCCUGGCUUUUGUCAACGGCUGCUGCCCAUUUAGUGCCGGCAAUACUGGCACUCAGGGCAGCGGCUUCUUUUGAAAUAUCAUCAUCAACUACAAAUCCACUGAAUUGCCUGACAGCAACAUAUGUUUUGCUCCAUUUUUGGAGGUGAAGGCCUUUAGCUGGAGGAGGAUUUGGCUGGUUCUUCUUUGGUACAUAAAAGCUCACAACAAAUGCGGAAGCACAAAAUGGACCAUCACUUGGCUUCACUUGAGUCAUAACUGGUGCUGUCAUCUCUAUUGUCUCAUGGAAACUGUUCUUUCCUCGAAUGUAAUUGAAGAGACUGCCAAGGCCAAGUUCAUAACCUUUUUAAGCAAACGGAUACACUAAUAACAACAACAGCAUACCCAAUAGAGUCCCACAAAAUGAGGACCGGGGAGGGUAGAGUAUACACAAACCUCGCUUCUACCUUAGAGGUAGAGAGGCUAUUUUCAUAUAGACCCGCGAAUCAAGGAAAAAUAGUCCAAAUCAAUCCGGAAAAGAACAGAAGUACAAGAAAUAUCAGAUAGUACGUAAUAAAACAGCAGAUAAAAUGAUACUUUUGGGACAAACAAAUACAUAUUACUACUAUCUACUAUGUAAUUGUAAGCUGAAACUGGCGCAUUUAUGCUACUUAAUAAGUGACAUAUCCAAACAAUGAAACAAUAUAUCCUCCUGUGUUUUUCUGUUAAUAGUCAGAUUAGUUCCAACUAACGGAGAUUAAACUAAAGCAAAUAGCACCUAGAGUGUGGCCUAAUGAUCAAUGGCCUACGGUCUCUUGUUCAAAUUGUUGGAAAUUGCUUUGAGUUACUGCACUAGUUUUUAGCAAAAUAAGUUAUUUAGAUUAAGAUGAAUUUGAAUUUUAAAUAUUUGUUAGUUUGUUUAGUUGUUGAGAUAUUUUAGGCUGUUUUAAAUUUCAAAUUAUGCAGAUUUUUGUUUUAUGUUGGCUAUUUAAAGCCCCUCAAUGCUUAAUAAAAUCAUUGAAUGCUAUUGAAAGUUAUUCAAUCCUUUGAGAGCCAUUUUAACUCCCUUUUUGCUGCCCCAUCUUUCUUUAAAAAAAACAACAGUGGUAUCAAGAGCCUCAUUGAUCUUACGCAACUAGCAUUCCGGUUCUACAUAUCGAAUUGGGGUGGGGAGUUCCGGUUUGAUUUUAGAGGGAUUCCUAUUGCUGGCAUAGUGAGGACUACAGAAAGCAUAGUUGCACGGAAAUAGCCAUGGGAUCUGUGUGUUCUUUCAAAGCGCUACCAUACCAUUUUUAACCCGCAAGAGCUAUCUUUUUAUUACGGGCUACCCAUUUUAACCCGUCAGGGCUACCAUUUUCAACCCGUGCUUAUUUUCAAUGCGUACGGCUAUUUUCAAGCAGCAGUCUCUCAUUGAAUGUCCCAAAAAUUUUCACUGGCGAAAACUACCAAAUUUGGUCAGUGGAAAUGAAAUCGUAUCUUCAAGCCUAUGAUCUGUGGGAAGUUGUAGCGGAUGAUACACCGUUACAACCAUUUCCUGAAAAGUUGUAGCGGAUGAUACACCGUUACAACCAUUUCCUGAAAAUCCUACUGUUGCUCAAAUUAAAUCUCAUUCAGAUGAAAAGCUCAAAAAGUUCAAAGCCAAAACUGUAAUUCAAAAUUCAGUUGUGGAUUCGAUUUUUUCUAAAAUCAUUGCUUGUGAGACAGCAAAUGAAGCUUGGGAAAAACUAAAAAAAGAAUAUCAAGAAAGUGAUCGAGUUAGACAAAUGCAAAUUUUGAAUUUGAAAAGGGAUUUUGAAUCUCUUAGAAUACAAGAGGAUGAAACUAUUGCUAAGUAUUCUGAAAAGAUUUCUUUGCUUAUCAAUAAAAUCAGGUUACUUGGUGAGGAUUUCAAAGAUGAAAGAAUAGUAGAAAAAAUUCUUGUGACAAUUCCGGAGAGAUUCGAGUCUAAAAUCUCAUCUCUGGAGGAGUCUAAAGAUCUCUCUACUAUCUCUGUUGAAGAACUAAUAAGUGCUCUUCAAGCAAAAGAGCAAAGAAGAGCUUUUAGACAAGACAAUAUUACUGAGAGUGUCUUUUAUGCACAAAACAAAAAAGGAAAAGGUAAUUAUCCUCGUUGCAGACACUGCAAAAAGAAAACACACUUGGAGAAUUUUUGUUGGUGGAGACUUGAUGCAAUAUGUGGAAAUUGCAAACAAGCAGGUGAUGUUACAAAAGUGUGCAAACUAAAAAACAAUCCUCAAGCACAAUUUGAGGAAGCAGAAAUUGAGGAGGAGCGCCUCUUUUAAAUCGCAGUAUCUAAAGCAAGGAGGAGUGUUGAAAAUUACUUUGAGUUACUGCACUAAUUUUUAGCAAAAUAAGUUAUUUAGAUUAAGAUGAAUUUAAAUUUUAAAUAUUUGUUAGUUUGUUUAGUUGUUGAGAUAAUUUAAGUUAUUUUAAAUUUUAAAUUAUGCAGAUUUUUAUUUUAUGUUGGCUAUUCAAAGCCUCUCAAUACUUAAUAUAAUUAUUGAAUGCUAUUGAAAGUUAUAGAGUCAUUUUAACCCUUUUCGUUGCUAUUUUUCUUUAAAAAAACCCAACACAAAUUCCAACCGAAACAAACAUAUUACUCUGUCCCAAAUUAUACGACAGUCUUUUUUAGUCAUUACAAAAAACAAAAAAAAUGACACAUUUCCUUGGCAAAUGUUCAAUGACCCACAUUGGGUCCCACUUAUUUUGAGAAAAAAAAAUCCACAGAAGUAUGCUCUUCUAUUAAAAGAAUUAGUACUAUUUAAUUUUAAAGGUAGUUCUCAAAAGUUACAAAGUCUUAUCACAGUUUUUAAAACUUCAUAACCAGUCAAACUACAUUACAUAAAAUGGCCGGAAAGGAGGGAGUAGGUAAUUUCAAUUUAUUUGUUUGUAUCUUGAUGGACAAAGCAGAAGGUAGGCAUCAAGUAAAAUUAAUCGAGGUGAACACAAACUAAUCGAGACAUCAUAAAACAGUUAAAUGAAGUAAAAGGGAAGUGGAAAAAUUAGGGAAUAGAUAUAUAAACCUGCGGAAACCAGUUCUGGUGGCUUCCCUAAACGAAAUAUCAUCAAUUGGAGCAGUAGACAUCCACAUGGCAGAAUUGUAAAGACGAAUUUCAUAGUCUUUUCCAGAUUCAAUCAAUUCAUAAUUUGGACACUCAAUUCUUUUGCAAGGUGGAGGAUAGAAAUCCAACUUUGUUGAAUAUCCAGCAUUGCAUAAUUUGGAAACAAGAAUCAGAAACAAACACAGCUUGAUCAUCCAAACAUUCAUGGUAACACAUAGCACCAUCUUUACUAGUAGUAUUUUCUUUUUGGUCACAGAAAUUAUAGAGGAAAAAGCAUGCAGAUUAGUGAGUAUGAAUGUGUGUCUACUUAUUUAUUGGAGAUAUUUGGAAGUAAUAAAGUAAUCUAGCGUUAAGGACGCUAGAGGCCUUGGUUAUGCCACGUCCUAGGCAAGUGCCAACAAUAUCUUAUAUUUAGACUAUAGAAAAAAAAGAUAAAAGGUUAAAAUCACGUGUGUCGCCAUUUCCGUUUUCAUCUGUAUAUACAGCUAACUAUUUAAUAACAUAAUUUUUAUUUUAUUUUUAAUGAGUUUCACUUUAUAAGAAAAGAUAAUUAAAAAAUAAAUUUUAUCAUGAAUAAUUUUAUAAACUUUAUAAAGUCAUUAUUUAUUUUUUAAACUUUAUGCCUAGUUAAAUGUCGACUCAUAAAAUAAGGGGAAAAAGUAUGAGUGUGUUUGAUAUGAUGGAAAAUGUUUUUCAAUUUUUCCCUUAUUUGGUUGUAAUGAAAUGUUGAGAAAGUAUUUUCCACAACAACUCAUUUUCCUUCAUUUGAUGGAAAAUGACUUCCCUCAUAGGUUUAAGGGAAGUCAUUUUCCAGAAAAUGACAAAUGAGACUUAUAAUUCCGCCCUCAUCCCUUUUUUCCAUCCCAACAACACUCAUAUUCAUAUGACUCAAAAAAUUUACAUUACUCGAAAAUGUUUUUCAUUGUACUUUGUUUUAAUUUUUCACUGCUUGAAAUAAAAAAAAGUGAAACCCAAAUUUUUUUCAUUUUCAAUAUUCGUUGAAUAUAUUGUUAUUUUUAUAUUCAUAGAAAAAGACUUACCUAUGUCACUUUUGCUAAUUACAUAUUUCAUCUUGUCAUCAAUGUAACUUGUUUCAUGAGGUUGAAUAAACUUGUCGUUCCGUUAUAUUUCUAUUGAUUGUAAUAUCUUGAGAUUGUCCUGAUAAAAUGUUGAAAAAUAUCUUCUAUAUUUGCUAAUUAAUAGUUGCACUAUUUCUUGGCAACUUGGACAACAACUAACGAUGUUUGUCCCGCAUAUCACUAGGAAGAUCGGGAUCUUUACAAAGGGCUUUAUAAAGCUUUCGUCUCAAUUCAUAUUUAGCCUAGCCGGUUAGCCGAAAAUCAAAGUUUAUCCGGUCCCUGAAAAAUUCGCUUUUUAUGAUUACAUCGGCAAUAAUCCAGAAAGUGGAUCUAUUUCGUUUUUUUCUCUUUUAAGAAAAGGAAAAUCUUAUUUCCCCACAGUUAGUAAUAUUUUCUAAAAAAUAUUUUUUUACUCACCAAUCAAACACUAAAAAAUAUUUUUCUAAAAAAUAUUUUCUACUCACCAACCAAAUACCAUAAAAUAUUUUUCGAAAAAUAUUUUUCACUCACCAACCAAACAUGAGAAAAUAAGUAGAAAACCAACUUAUUUUCCAGAAAAAUAUUUUCCAUCAUACCAAACACACCCUAUAUGUUUUUCCCAAAAAAUUUCAGGCACUAACUAGCAGUUGUUCCUUACGCAUUAACUACAGUUUUUCUACAUUAAUGAUCACAAUAAUUCAGGUAGGAAAAGAAAAUAUUUUGAUAAUUAAGGCAUGUUUUAAUGCAUAGGAAAAAACAAUUACUAGUAAUUAAUUUAUGGAAUCUGCAAAAAGUAAAAUUCAAAUAAGUAUGUUUUUGAUUGCCAAGUUGCCAUUUCUGUAUACGAGGAAAAAAACAUUAUCUUAGUCUACGGCAUUAAAUGAGUAGGAAACUUUUAGUGAGUAAUUUAUGUUAGUUCUUAUUUAUGAAUUUCGAAGAUAAGUAAUCUGCAUAGUUGCCAACCCUCCUCCCCUAAAAAACAAAAAGAAUAAAGAAUAACAGUUGAAGGAAAAAAGUUCAUAUAGGAUUCGAGAGAGGGCUGCAUUCUACGUACGGGAGUGUAAUGUAGGCAGCUUAAGUGAGUAAUCUACGAGUGCAAUGUAAGUACUUACUCUGAUUGCAAGUAUUAGUAGCUGAUUCCAUGGCUUAAACUUAUCGUGUCUAUAAAUCACAAAAAAGAAUUUUACUGUUACUCAAAGACUCCACUUCAACUUAUUAAUUAAAUUGCGGUAAUUGGACUAUUUUGAAAUAAUCAUGAAUGGGACCAGAAGACAUCCACAUAGGAGAAUUAUAAAGGCGAAUUUCAUAGUCUUUUCCAGAUUCAGUUAACUCAUAAUUUGGACACUCAAUUCGUUCACAAAUUGGAGGAUAGAACCCAUUGCAUAAUUUAGUAACAAUGACCAAAGAGAAACACAGCUUGAUCAUCAACAUAUUCAUAACAUUCUUCAUUUUUAAUUGACAUCAUUUUUAUAAUUUUCACGACAUCAUUUAACUUGCUAAAUUGUUGCAAAGGGCAACUCGAUCGGUGCAUGAAGCAUCUUGCAUUCACGCAACACAAGCCAUUGUACAAAGCAUGUCACAUUCAUGUAGGAUUUGAGAAUAGGCCAUACCCCAUAGGAGUGUAAUGUAAGCAGUCCAUCCUGAAGCAAGCAUGCAUCGGCGACUCAUUCAAUGGCUGGAACCACGACCUAUAGGUCAUACCGAGACAGUUUUACCAUUACAAUACCGAGAUGUCUUAUUUAACAAUAUAUAAUGUAGCGUUCUGGUCAUACAGAAUUACUAGACUUCUCAACAAUCCCUUUGAUAAUACAAACAGGAAAACGCGAUAGCAAACCAGAAGUAAAUCACGUCUCAUUAGCUCUAUUCUCGAACAAGAGCGUCUCAAAUGGCAGAUGCUUUGUCCAAAUCAAAAGUAAACCAUAUCUCAUUAACUCUGUUGUUGAACUCAGACGGAGAGUUGUAUUGCGCCACUUUAUAAACCGUAGUGUCAUCUGCAGCCUGGCUUUUUUCAACGGCUUCAGCCCAUUUAGUGCCAGCAAUACUGGCACUCAGGGCAGCGGCUUCUUUUGGAAUAUCAUCAUCAAUUACAAAUCCGCUGAAUUGCCUGACAGCGACGUAUGUUUUGCUCCAUUUUUGGAGGUGAAGGCCUUUAGCUGGAGGAGGAUUGGGCUGGUUCUUCUUUGGUAUAUAAAAGCUCACAACAAAUGAGGAAGUACUGAAAGGUCCAUCACUUGGCUUCACUUGAGCCAAAACUGGUACUGUCAUCCCUAUUUCCUCCUUGUAAAUGUUCUUUCCGUGCCUGUAAUUAUAUAGACUGCCAAGGCCAAGUUCACAAUCACAUUUUUCAGCAAAUGGAUGCACUAACAUUUAAGUAUAAAGAUUUAAUAAUAACAACUACACUUCAAUCCCAAGCAAGCCUCGGUCGGAUAUAUAAAUUCUCACUGACCAAGUAACUCCUUUUAAGCUCAAGUAGCAGUAUAACAAGUUCUCUAUUUUUGUUUUCCAUUGGCAUAUGAAUCUUAAAUACAACCAGGAAUGGAACAUUUCCAUUGGCACUAGAAAACAUUUAGUGUUUGGUCGGUGAAUGAAAAUGUUUUCGUGGAAAAUAAGUUGAUUUCUUACUUGUCUUCUUAUGUUUGGUUGGUGAGUGGAACAUAUUUUCCAGAAAAUGUUUUCAAUGUUUGGUUUGUGAAUGAGAAAAUAUUUUUUAGAAAAUAUAUUUUAGUAUUUAGUUACAGAGUAAAAAUACAUUUUAGAAAAAGAAUUUUUGACCUCGAAAUUUUUUUUAGAGUGUGUUGAGGAAAAACAUUUUCCUGAAAAAUACGUUGUUUCUUAUUUAUAAUCUUGUGUUAGUUUUGCAAAUUGAGUAAGUAUAUGUUUUAUAAAAGUAUUUGUAAAUAUUUUAACAAAAAUAAUGAGAACGAAUAGGAUAAGAAGGGUGACAUAAAAUUGAUUUCUUUUAAAAAUAAAUUUAAUUUUUUGGGAGGGAGGGGGGCUAGUAGGGGUUGGGGUUCGGGAUAGGGCAGUGAGGGUGGCGUGAGAAAAAAAUUAAAAUUUUUUAAAAAUAUAUUUAGAAAAGAAAAAUUUGGAUGGGGGAGGGGCAGGGGUUGGUAGGGGGGACGUGGAGUNNNNNNNNNNNNNNNNNNNNNNNNNNNGGGAUUGGGAAUCGGAGUAGGGGCGGAUGAUUUUGAGAGUUAAAUAAACAUUUCAACUUAAGAGUAAAAGUUGGAAGAGAAUUUUGGAAAACGUUUUCUCUAUAACUAGUCAAGCUACAUCACGUAAAUAGACCGGAAAGGAGGGAGUAGGUAAUUUCUAUCUAUUUGUUCGAAUCUUGAUAGACAAAGCAAAAGAUAUCUAGUAGAAUUAAUCAAGAUGAACACAAAGUAAUCGAAACAUCGUAAACACAGAUAAAUGAAGUAAAAGGCAAGUGGGAAAACUAGGGAAUAGUUAUAUGUAUAUAUAAACCUUUGGAAACCAGUUGUGGUGCCGGAAAAGAAUGAAGUAUCAUCAAUAGGAGGAGUAGACAUCCACAUGGCAGAAUUAUAAAGACGUAUUUCAUAGUCUUUUCCAGAUUCAAUCAACUCAUAAUCUGGACACUCAAUUCGUUCACAAGGUAGAGGAUAGAAAUCCAACUUAGUUGAAUAUCCAGCAUUGCUUAAUUUGGAAACAAGAAUCAGAAACAAACACAGCUUGAUCAUCCACACACCUAGCACCAUCUUUACUAGCUAGUAGUAGUAGUAUUCUUUUUUUGGUGACAGAAUUAAAUUAUAGAGAAUGAAGCAUGCAGAUUAGUGAGUGUGAGGGUGUGUGUACUCAUUUAUUGCAGAUAUUUGGAAGUACAAAAGUAAUCUAAGCGAUAAGGACACUAGAGGCCUUGGUUAUGCCACCUCCUAGACAACAUUAUCUUACUUGAUUCAUUUCAAUUUGAUACAAGAAAAUGAUGAAUCUUUGUGGGUUAAAAAUUAAAGAUACGUUGAAUAUAUCAAAAUAUUCUUUAAUUUAAUGAUUUUGAAUAUAUUACGUGGAAAAUUAAAGUUAAAGUAGAAAAAAAAAAUCAUUCCUUUUAGGAGGAACUGAAAAAAGAUAGGUUAAAUAAAGUGAAAUGGGGGAAAUAUUUUGACAAAAAAUAGUACUUAGUACUCCACAGCAUUAAGGAUAAACUGAUACCACAUUUCCCAUAGUUAAGAAGUAGGAAAAUUUUUCAUAGUAUAUGCUGGUGAAGAUAAUAAUUAUAUCCGUGAAAAAUAUUUAUUAUAUUCGUUUCAAUUUGUUUGUGUUACCUUUUUUUUUAUUUAUGUGGGAAAAGAAAGUCAUUCUCUUUAUUUAGUACUAACUUGCUAGUUGCUGCACCUAAUACUUAGACCACACGAUUCAAAGGUAUUUUAUAAAAUGAAGAUAAAAUAAUUUGGUGUACGAAGCAUCUACGCAAUAUCAGGAAAUGUGCCAUACCCGAAAGGAAGCAGUAAUGUAUGCAAGCAUCGGUGCCUCAUUCCGUACCUAUACAAUUUUAUCAUUACUCGAAGAUCUUUCUUCGACUUGCUAAAUUGAAGCCACAUUGUAUUAUUGUGAAAGAUCUUGACAACCAAGUUCUCAGAAUUAGAUUGUAUUAUACAACCUAUCUUAUUUGCAAUAUACAAUGUAGCAUUCUGGUCAUACAAAACUACUAGGACUUCUCAACUAUCCUUUACAAAUACAAAGCAAGAAAAUGAGAUAGUUAAAACAUAUCUCAUUAACUCUGUACUUGAACAAGAGCCUCUCAAAUGGCAGAUGAUUUGUCCAAAUCAAACGUAAACCAUAUCUCAUUAACUCUAUUCUUGAACUCAAAGGGGGAGUUGUAUGCCGCCUUCGUAUACAUCGUAGUAUUAUCUUUGGCUUGGCUCUUUUCAAUGGCUGCUGCCCAUUUAGUGCCUGCAAUACUGGCGCUCAGGGCAGCGGCUUCUUUUGGAACAUUAUCAUCAGUCGCAAAUCCACCAAAUUGCCUGACCGCGACAUAUGUUUUGCCCCAUUUUUGGAGGUGAAGGCCUUUAGCUGGAGGGGGAUUUGGCUGGUUCUUCUUUGGUAUAUAAAAGCUCACAACAAAAGAGGAAGCACAAAAUGGACCAUCACUUGGCUUCACUUGAGUGAGAACUGGAGCUGUCAUCUCUAUCGUCUCCUUGUAACUGUU